rnacentral:rRNA from 1 species
GAUGAACGCUGGCGGCGUGCCUAAUACAUGCAAGUCGAGCGAACAGACGAUGAGCUUUCUCCUCUGACGUUAGCGGCGGACGGGUGGGUAACACGUGGAUAACCUACCUAUAAUACUUGGAUAACUUCGGGAAACCAGAUCUAAUACCGGAUAAUAUAUUGAACCGCAUGGUGCAAUAGUGAAUGACGGCUUUGCUGUCUCUUUUAGAUGGAUCCGCGCCGCCUUAUCUAGUUGGUAAGGUAACGGCUUACAAAGGCGACGAUGCUUAGCCGACCGGAGAGGGGGAUCGCCCACAUGGGAACUGAGACAGGGUCCAGACUCCUACGGGAGGCGGCAGUAGGGAAAUUUCAGCAAUGGGCGAAAGCUUGACGGAGCAAAGCGGCGGGAGGGAGGAAGGUCUCGGGAUCGAAAACCUCUGUGAUGAGGGAGAAAAGAAUGUGUAAGUAACUAUGCACGUCUUGACGGUACCUAAUCAGAAAGACCCGGCUAACUACGUG